GUGAGGAAUUUUCCGCAAUGGGCGAAAGCCUGACGGAGCAAUGCCGCGUGAAGGAUGAAGGCCUAUGGGUUGUAAACUUCUUUUCUCAGAAAAGAAUUAUGACGGUAUCUGAGGAAUAAGCAUCGGCUAACUCUGUGCCAGCAGCCGCGGUAAGACAGAGGAUGCAAGCGUUAUCCGGAAUGAUUGGGCGUAAUGCGUCUGUAGGUUGUUUAAAAAGUAUUCUGUCAAAGAUUAGGGCUUAACCCUAGAUAGGCAGAAUAAACUUUUAAGCUAGAGUUUGGUAGAGGCAGAGGGAAUUCCCGGUGGAGCGGUGAAAUGCGUAGAUAUCGAGAGGAACACCAAAGGCGAAGGCACGCUGCUGGGCCAAUACUAACACUGAGAGACGAAAGCGAGGGGAGCAAAUGGGAUUAGAUACCCCAGUAGUCC
rnacentral:rRNA from 1 species